GAUGAAGAACGCAGCGAAAUGCGAUAAGUAAUGUGAAUUGCAGAAUUCCGUGAAUCAUCGAAUCUUUGAACGCACAUUGCGCCCCCUGGCAUUCCGGGGGGCAUGCCUGUCCGAGCGUCAUUUCUGCCCUCAAGCACGGCUUGUGUGUUGGGUGCGGUCCCCCCGGGGACCUGCCCGAAAGGCAGCGGCGACGUCCGUCUGGUCCUCGAGCGUAUGGGGCUCUGUCACUCGCUCGGGAAGGACCUGCGGGGGUUGGUCACCACUAUAUUUUACCACGGUUGACCUCGGAUCAGGUAGGGAUACCCGCUGAACUUAAGCAUAUCAAUAAGCGGAGGA
rnacentral:misc_RNA from 1 species